AGCGAACGCUGGCGGCAGGCUUAACACAUGCAAGUCGAACGCCUCGCAAGGGGAGUGGCAGACGGGUGAGUAACACGUGGGAACGUACCCUUUGGUUCGGAAUAACUUGGGGAAACUCAAGCUAAUACCGGAUAAGCCCUUAUGGGGAAAGGUUUACUGCCGAAGGAUCGGCCCGCGUCUGAUUAGCUAGUUGGUGAGGUAAUGGCUCACCAAGGCGACGAUCAGUAGCUGGUCUGAGAGGAUGAUCAGCCACACUGGGACUGAGACACGGCCCAGACUCCUACGGGAGGCAGCAGUGGGGAAUAUUGGACAAUGGGGGCAACCCUGAUCCAGCCAUGCCGCGUGGGUGGUGAAGGCCUUAGGGUUGAAAAGCUCUUUUACCCGGGACGAUAAUGACUGUACCGGGAGAAUAAGCCCCGGCUAACUUCGUGCCAGCCGCCGCAGUAA
rnacentral:rRNA from 1 species